rnacentral:tRNA from 1 species
GCAGUCGUGGCCGAGUGGUUAAGGCGAUGGACUAUAAAUCCAUUGGGGUCUCUUCGCACAGGUUUGAAUCCUGUCGACUGCG